rnacentral:lncRNA from 1 species
GUCCCUUGCUACAAAUUAGCCUCUCGUGCCUCCCUGAGCUAGAGAAGCUUCUUCAAAAUUCCUAACAGGCAGCCUGGUGGAGAGAUGGGAGGGAGGAAGGGCGGGAGGAAGGGAGGGAGAGAGAGGUAGAGGGUGCCUGUCUGCUGAGUACAUGUGGUACAGGCAGGGAGAUGAGAACGCUGGCAGAGCAGGCAGUGUAAUUACAUGUUCCUCGUAUUUGUGGAUGCUUCGCUGCCACCCAGGGCCCAGGCGAACUGA